rnacentral:rRNA from 1 species
AAUCAACGCUGGCGGCGUGCCUAACACAUGCAAGUCGAACGCGAAAGGGGAGCAAUCCCUGAGUAGAGUGGCAAACGGGUGAGUAACACGUGGGUGACCUGCCUUCGAGUGGGGAGUAACGUCCCGAACGGGACGCUAAUACCGCAUGACAUCCUGCUCUUGGAAGAGCGGAGAUCAAAGACUGGGGAGUCGCAAGACCUGGCGCUUGAAGA